rnacentral:rRNA from 1 species
UACGGGGGGGGUAAGCGUUGUUCGGAAUUACUGGGCGUAAAGGGCUCGUAGGCGGCCAACUAAGUCAGACGUGAAAUCCCUCAGCUUAACUGGGGAACUGCGUCUGAUACUGGAUGGCUUGGAUUCGGGAGAGGAAUGCGGAAUUCCAGGUGUAGCGGUGAAAUGCGUAGAUAUCAGGAGGAACACCGGUGGCGAAGGCGGCUUGCUGGGCCAGUUCUGACGCUGAGGAGCGAAAGCGUGGGAGCGAACAGG